GGGUCAAUUAUGAGUGAAGAACCGUUCACCAAAUGAAGACCGCAGCCAGGUGACGGGAUUCUGUGGUAAUCGCAAACAGGUAAGCACCAUACCGUAAGCUUCAUUCCCUUUAUAACAGAUUUAAAAGUGUCUACUGUUGAAGCACAUCUGAUCUCUUCUGAAAGCUGAUAAUAACUAAAUGCUGAUGCACCUUGUUUUGAGUGAACCCUUGUUUUUUCUAAAUGACCUGAUCCUAUUGAUCCGAGUAAUCGGUUUCAUAUUCGAUUAGCAUAUCUGUCAUGUAUUUCGGCCCGUAGCCAUGAAGUGGUUUUUAAACAAGUAACAGUACUUUUUUUAAUCCAUUGUCCAUUGCAAUAAUCGGCCCUGCUGGUGAUG